GAUGAAGAACGCGGCGAAAUGCGAUAAGUAAUGUGAAUUGCAGAAUUCCGUGAAUCAUCGAAUCUUUGAACGCACAUUGCGCCCCCUGGCAUUCCGGGGGGCAUGCCUGUCCGAGCGUCAUUUCUGCCCUCAAGCACGGCUUGUGUGUUGGGUGUGGUCCCCCCGGGGACCUGCCCGAAAGGCAGCGGCGACGUCCGUCUGGUCCUCGAGCGUAUGGGGCUCUGUCACUCGCUCGGGAAGGACCUGCGGGGGUUGGUCACCACCAUGUUUUACCACGGUUGACCUCGGAUCAGGUAGGAGUUACCCGCUGAACUUAAGCAUAUCAAUAAGCGGAGGA
rnacentral:misc_RNA from 1 species